AUUGAUUCACUGUUUCCACUAUCAGACACCAGCUCUCACAUGUGUGUUUUGACUCUCUAGCUCUAUUGCAAAUCCUGCGAAAGCAAGAUUGCUUGUCUUACUCAGCUUUGCAAGUCCUAUCCCGAAGGUGCUAUGGGAAGCAGAGAUGCAAAAUCAUCGUCAACAAUCACCAUUUUGGAAGCCCCUGUUUGCCAGGCGUGAAAAAAUACCUCACUGUGACCUACGCAUGUGUUCCCAAGAACAUACUCACAGCGAUUGAUCCAGCCAUUGCUAAUCUAAAACCUUCUUUGAAGCAGAAAGAUGGUGAAUAUGGUAUAAACUUCGACCCAAGCGGAUCGAAGGUUCUGAGGAAAGAUGGAAUUCUUGUUAGCAACUCUCUGGCAGCCUUUGCUUACAUUAGAGCCCACCCGGAGAGAGCUGCCCUGCUGUUCGUGUCCAGUGUCUGCAUCGGCCUGGCCCUCACAUUGUG
rnacentral:sRNA from 1 species